AACUUUUGACAAUGGACCACUUGGCUCUCGCAUCGAUGAAGAACGCAGCGAAAUGCGAUACGUAAUGUGAAUUGCAGAAUUCAGUGAAUCAUCGAAUCUUUGAACGCACCUUGCGCCCCUUGGUAUUCCGAGGGGCACACCCGUUUGAGUGUCGUGAAUACUCUCAACCUUCUUGGUUUCUUUGACCACGAAGGCUUGGACUUUGGAGGUUUUUCUUGCUGGCCUCUUUAGAAGCCAGCUCCUCCUAAAUGAAUGGGUGGGGUCCGCUUUGCUGAUCCUCGACGUGAUAAGCAUUUCUUCUACGUCUCAGUGUCAGCUCGGAACCCGCUUUCCAACCGUCUUUGGACAAAGACAAUGUUCGAGUUGCGACUCGACCUUACAAACCUUGACCUCAAAUCGGGUGAGACUACCCGCUGAACUUAAGCAUAUCAAUAAGCGGAGGCU
rnacentral:misc_RNA from 1 species